rnacentral:rRNA from 1 species
UGGUGGAGUGAUUUGUCUGGUUAAUUCCGUUAACGAACGAGACCUCAGUUUUUAAAUAGUGUGGGAAAACUCUACCGGGUGAAGUGUGGGGGUGUGGUGGUGGCCUAAAAACCAUUACUGCCUCCUGCAUGGAUCCUUGAUGCUUUUCUUCAUGCUUCUUAGAAAGACUAUUGGGGAAUACCUAAUGGAGGGGAGGCAAUAACA